AUUGAACGCUGGCGGCAGGCCUAACACAUGCAAGUCGAGCGGAUGAAGGGAGCUUGCUCCUGGAUUCAGCGGCGGACGGGUGAGUAAUGCCUAGGAAUCUGCCUGGUAGUGGUGGAUAACGUCCGGAAACGGGCGCUAAUACCGCAUACGUCCUGAGGGAGAAAGUGGGGGAUCUUCGGACCUCACGCUAUCAGAUGAGCCUAGGUCGGAUUAGCUAGUUGGUGGGGUAAAGGCCUACCAAGGCGACGAUCCGUAACUGGUCUGAGGGGAUGAUCAGUCACACAGGAAGUGAGACACGGUACAGAAACUGAGGGGAGGCAGAAGGGGGGAAUAUUGGAAGAAGGGCGAAAGCCUGAACAAGCCAUGCCGGGUGGGUGAAGAAGGGCUUCGGAUUGUAAGCACUUUAAGGGGGGAGGAAGGGCAGUAAGUUAAUACCUUGCGGUUUUGACGUUACCAACAGAAUAAGCACCGGCUAACUUCGUG
rnacentral:rRNA from 1 species